CGGGGGCCCCCUUGCGGCCGCGUGCGCCCAUCAAGCGCUGAGUCAGACCUCUGACAUGCCAAAGAAUAAAGCGUGGGGAAAUCAGAUAGGAUUAAGGAAAAGUGUGUGGGCAGGUGAAGAUGCUGAGCUUGCCCAGAUUGUAAUAUUAGCUGGGGUAGAUGGACACGCAAACCCAAAGCUGACUCUUCACAGCCUUGCUCCCCCCAGGCUAUGUUGUCACAACGUGUCACAGAGCGUCCGUCCCUACUACCAGAGGUUCUUAACUUCGGGUCCAAAACAUCAAGAGGUCCCUAAGCUCCGUGAACCUGGGGUCCGUGAACCUGAGUGGGAAACAAAGUUAUGUCUUUAUUGUCACUAAAUGCUCAUUGAAAUGUAGCAUUGUCUACAAUUAUGAAUGUGGGCAAGAGACCACAGUUUAUUAACACCACCUAUGACUUUCUCAUCGUGCCCCCAGAUACUUUCCUCCCUCUUCAUAAUCCUUGAGAUCCCUCAUCUCUACUUCAAAAGUAUGGUGGUUAUUAAACAUGCAGUCAGAUCUUGUCGCUUAAUGCAUUACUGAAGAAGCCCAAUUUGCUUAUAUUUAAUACCUGUAUUUCCAAAAAUAAUUAGUUUCUUUGGCAAUCUUGUGUUUUAUUUUAUGCAUUUAAAAAUAUUACUCUCAGGUUUGCACUUUCGGGCAAAUUUCGAGGAAAUUUUCUCUCUCUUUUUUUAAAGAUUUUUGUACUACAUUACUGUAUUUGAUU